ACGAACGCUGGCGGCGUUCUUAACCCCUGCCAGUCGCACCGAAAGGCCCUUCUUUUUUUGGGUUCUCGUGUUGCGAACCGGUUAGUUACCCCUUAGUUACCUUCCCUUGUCUUUUGGUUUACUUCCUGAAACUUGGGCUUAUUCCCGAUUUGAGCUCCUUCUUCCUUGUUGGGGUUUGUAAGUUUCGGCGGUUGGGGAUGGACUCGCGGCUUAUCAGCUUGUUUGUUGGGUAGUGGCUUACCAAUGCUUUUAAGGGUAGCCGGCCUGAGAGGGUGACCGGCAAAAUUGGGACUGAGAUACGGCACAGACUACAACGGGAGGCAGCAGUGGGGAAUAUUGCACAAUGGGAGGAAGCCUGAUGAAGCAACGCCGCGUGCGGGAUGACGGCCUUCGGGUUGUAAAACGAUUUCGCCUGUGACGAAGCGUGAGUGACGGUAAUGGGUAAAGAAGCACCGGCUAACUACGUG
rnacentral:rRNA from 1 species